rnacentral:rRNA from 1 species
UACAGAGGGGGCAAGCGUUGUUCGGAAUUACUGGGCGUAAAGGGCGCGUAGGCGGCCUUCUAAGUCGAACGUGAAAUCCCCGGGCUUAACCUGGGAAUGGCAUUUGGGACUGCAAGGCUUGAGUGCGGCAGAGGAGACUGGAAUUCCUGGUGUAGCAGUGAAAUGCGUAGAUAUCAGGAGGAAUACCGAUGGCGAAGGCAGGUCUCUGGGCUGACACUGACGCUCAUGCACGAAAGCGUGGGGAGCAAACAGG